rnacentral:rRNA from 1 species
UGGGGAAUAUUGGACAAUGGGGGAAACCCUGAUCCAGCAAUGCCGCGUGAGUGAAGAAGGCCUUCGGGUUGUAAAGCUCUUUUACCGGGGACGAUAAUGACGGUACCCGGAGAGUAAGCACCGGCUAACUUCGUGCCAGCAGCCGCGGUAAUACGAAGGGUGCUAGCGUUGUUCGGAAUUACUGGGCGUAAAGGGCGCGUAGGCGGCUAUAUAAGUUAGAUGUGAAAGCCUUGGGCUUAACCUGAGAACUGCAUUUAAUACUGUAUAGCUAGAGGUCGAGAGCGGAUAGUGGAAUUACUAGUGGAGAGGUGAAAUUCGUAGAUAUUAGUAAGAACACCAGUGGCGAAGGCAGCUAUCUGGCUCGAAUCUGACGCUGAGGCGCGAAAGCGUGGGGAGCAAACAGG